GUAACAUAGAAGGUAAAAGAGCAUUUGAUGACACAAUUAGGAAGAAAACAAACGCAUUGUUCAUGGCAUUUAAAUACAACAUAACACUGUGUAAUAAUACUACCAUUUCUGUUUAAUCCAUAGACGCUCAUUUUCACUCUUGAGACCAUUGUGUGACCUGCAAGGUCGAAUCCAGACUGUAGACAAGACAAUCUUCACUGUCUUCACUGGUCCAGUCUCUUGUUACCCCAAAUGCAGAUGGAGAUUAUAGAAGAGGAUGGUGUCUUUUCUCCAACAUCUAUUGAAGAUCUAGACAGGCUUGAACGAAAGUUAACAGCCAUAGGGUUUAUAUAAAGAAUGGUGAGCAGCUACACAUAAAAGAUGAACAUGGAGAAUCUGCUCAGAGGUGUUCACCUGCAACGCAGCUGCUAUAGAACUAUUGGUGCAGGAGCAGUGCUUUAAGUGGGCCGGAACGCCCCGGUACUCAGUACCGCCACUUCUAAAAAUAGCUCUUGAGCGUACCACCACCUCUCCGUGCGCCCAGAACGUGCUUUUAGCGUACCGGAACGCUCGUUUGCACAUCUGUUUAAAAAUCAGAGGUUUAAUUUAAUCAUUUGGCUGUGCUGCCGCUUUUCAGAGCGCCCUUAAUGUACGC